CAGCCUGCUUGUCCCUGCAGGGCUGGGGUGGGGCCGGCACUCUCGGGCCCCAGCUGUGAACGUGAGGGGUCUGCCCCACGGGUUGCGGGGCUGGGGGCCUUGCUCAGGUCAGGAAGUGGCUGUGGUGAACAGAGGGUCUCGUCUGAGCGUGUGGCCCGUGGGCCGUGUGGCAGCCUCACACAAGGACCUCACCCCAGCCUGUGCUCCAGGAAAGUACAGAGGGUAGCAGGGCCCCUGGGGUGGGCACUGAGGGGGCGGGUUCCAUCCCCCUAGGACUUCUCCUACGAUGAGUCCAAAGUGGAGUUUGACGUGGACGCGCCCAGUGGGGUGGUGAUGGAGGGCUACCUCUUCAAGAGGGCCAGCAACGCUUUCAAGACCUGGAACCGGCGCUGGUUCUCCAUUCAGAACAGCCAGCUGGUCUACCAGAAGAAGCUCAAGGAUGCCCUCACCGUGGUGGUGGACGACCUCCGCCUGUGCUCUGUGAAGCCGUGUGAGGACAUCGAGCGGAGGUUCUGCUUCGAGGUGCUGUCACCCACCAAGUGAGGAGGCCCAGCCCAGGGUGGGGCGGGGGGCGUACCUGCCCACCGGAGCUGACGCCCACCCCUCCACUGCCUGCAGGAGCUGCAUGCUACAGGCAGACUCCGAGAAGCUGCGGCAGGCCUGGGUCCAAGCUGUGCAGGCCAGCAUCGCCUCCGCCUACCGCGAGAGCCCCGACAGUUGCUAUAGCGAGAGGCUGGACCGCACAGCAUCCCCGUCCACGAGCAGCAUCGACUCCACCACCGACACUCGGGAGCGCGGCGUGAAGGGCGAGAGUGUGCUGCAGCGUGUGCAGAAUGUGGCCGGCAACAGCCAGUGUGGCGACUGCGGCCAGCCGGACCCCCGCUGGGCCAGCAUCAACCUGGGCGUGCUGCUCUGCAUCGAGUGCUCCGGCAUCCACAGGAGCCUGGGUGUCCACUGCUCCAAGGUCCGGUCCCUGACGCUGGACUCGUGGGAGCCAGAGCUGCUAAAGCUGAUGUGUGAGCUUGGAAACAGCGCUGUGAAUCAGAUCUAUGAGGCCCAGUGUGAGGGUCCAGGCAGCAGGAAACCCACAGCCAGCAGCUCCCGGUGAGGUGGGGUACAGUCUGUAUCAGUCAGGGAGCCCCAGCCUGGGGGCACAGCCUCAUGUUCAUCCCUGGUCCAGGCAGGACAAGGAGGCUUGGAUCAAGGACAAAUACGUGGAAAAGAAAUUUCUGCGGAAGGCGACCAUGGCACCAGCCCUGGAGGCCCCAAGACGCUGGAGGGUGCAGAAGUGCCCGCGGCCCCACAGCUCUCCCCGCGCUCCCACUGCCCGCCGCAAGGUCCGGCUUGAGCCCGUUCUGCCCUGUGUGGCCACUCUGUCCUCAGUGGGCACCCUGGAUCGUAAAUUCCGUCGAGACUCCCUCUUCUGCCCCGACGAGCUGGACUCGCUCUUCUCCUACUUUGACGCAGGGGCCGCGGGGGCUGGCCCUCGCAGUCUGAGUAGCGACAGUGGCCUUGGGGGCAGCUCGGAUGGCAGCUCGGACGUCCUGGCUUUCGGCUCGGGCUCUGUGGUGGACAGCGUCACUGAGGAGGAGGGUGCGGAGUCGGAGGAGUCCAGCGGUGAGGCAGACGGGGACGCUGAGGCCGAGGCCUGGGGCCUGGCGGACGUGCGCGAGCUGCACCCGGGGCUCUUGGCGCACCGCGCAGCGCGUGCCCGCGACCUUCCUGCGCUGGCGGCGGCGCUGGCCCACGGGGCCGAGGUCAACUGGGCGGACGCGGAGGAUGAGGGCAAGACGCCGCUGGUGCAGGCCGUGCUAGGGGGCUCCUUGAUCGUCUGUGAGUUCCUGCUGCAAAACGGAGCGGACGUGAACCAAAGAGACAGUCGGGGCCGGGCGCCCCUGCACCACGCCACGCUGCUGGGCCGCACCGGCCAGGUUUGCCUGUUCCUGAAGCGGGGCGCGGACCAGCACGCCCUGGACCAAGAGCAGCGGGACCCGUUGGCCAUCGCAGUGCAGGCGGCCAACGCUGACAUCGUGACACUGCUCCGUUUGGCGCGCAUGGCGGAGGAGAUGCGCGAGGCCGAGGCUGCCCCAGGUCCCCCGGGCGCCCUGGGGGGCAGCAGCCCCACGGAGCUCCAGUUCCGCAGGUGCAUCCAGGAGUUCAUCAGCCUCCACCUGGAAGAGAGCUAGGGCCGGGCAGGCCGGGCAGCUGCCACCCCGCCCGGCCCGCCGCCCCGCAUGCCCCGAAGUCCCUGGUGCCCACCCGGCCGCGGCCCUGCCUGUGACCCGGGUCGAUGCCCGGCAGCCCCAGUGCCGGGGCGCCGCGGCCCCGCUCACCCAGGAGGAGAGCGAGGGCCCCGCACUGAGUCUCUUGAAGCCUCACGUUUCCCUAGGGGGGUGCUGCAUCGUCGGGUGCCCCUCACCCCACCUGGGGAACCUCUGUCUUCAGGUCACCCCUCUUCAGGAGCCUGGGUUGCUCAUGUCACAAGCCACUCUCAAGGCCCAUGUCACCUGUGUCCCUCUGUCCUCAGGGCCUGUGUUGUUUCGUGCCGCACUUCUGCUCAGAACACUGACCUGUUAGCUGGGUCCCUCCUGCACACCCCACAGCCUCCCCCCAGGGCAGAAAGGGUGGCCCAUCCAGGGAACCAACGAGUACCUCACUUAGUGACCCCAGCAUCCAGGCUGGCGUCGCGGGUGCUGGGCGGGAGGGGCUCUGGCCUGGGUCCUCAGCCCUGGCUGGACGCGGGCGUCCCAAGGCCACGUGGCUGGCCACGAAGGUCCCCGUGCCAGACAGCCCCAGCCUCGUCCCAGCCUCCUCCGGAGGCACCUUCUCCUGGUACUCGGCCCAGAGCCUGUGCAUAAAGCCACUUUGCCACUUUGCA
rnacentral:sRNA from 1 species